UACGUAGGGGGCGAGCGUUGUCCGGAUUUAUUGGGCGUAAAGGGCUCGUAGGCGGUUUGGCAAGUCGGGUGUGAAAACUCCGGGCUCAACUCGGAGACGCCACUCGAUACUGCUAUGACUCGAGUCCGGUAGGGGAGUGCGGAAUUCCUGGUGUAGCGGUGAAAUGCGCAGAUAUCAGGAGGAACACCGGUGGCGAAGGCGGCACUCUGGGCCGGUACUGACGCUGAGGAGCGAAAGCGUGGGGAGCGAACAGG
rnacentral:rRNA from 1 species